CACGUAGGGCGCAAGCGUUGUCCGGAAUUAUUGGGCGUAAAGAGCGUGUAGGCGGCCAGGUAGGUCUGCUGUGAAAACUCGAGGCUCAACCUCGAGAUGUCGGCGGAAACCAUCUGGCUAGAGUCCGGAAGAGGAAAGUGGAAUUCCUGGUGUAGCGGUGAAAUGCGCAGAUAUCAGGAGGAACACCGGUGGCGAAGGCGGAUCUCUGGGCCUUGCCUGACGCUGAGGCGCGAAAGCUAGGGGAGCGAACAGG
rnacentral:rRNA from 1 species